UCAAUUAUUAAUGGAGAAUGA
rnacentral:piRNA from 1 species